rnacentral:rRNA from 1 species
GGCCGGUGCACGCUUUACUCGGAAUUACUGGGCGUAAAGCGCGCGUAGGUGGUUUGUUAAGUUGGAUGUGAAAGCCCUGGGCUCAACCUAGGAACUGCAUCCAAAACUAACUCACUAGAGUACGAUAGAGGGAGGUAGAAUUCAUAGUGUAGCGGUGGAAUGCGUAGAUAUUAUGAAGAAUACCGGUGGCGAAGGCGGCCUCCUGGAUCUGUACUGACACUGAGGUGCGAAAGCGUGGGUAGCGAACAGGAUUAGAUACCCUGGUAGUCCACGCCGUAAACGAUGACAACUAGCUGUUGGGAGACAAUGUCUUUCAAUGGCGCAGCUAACGUUUUAAGUUGUCCGCCUGGGGAGUACGGCCGCAAGGCUAAAACUCAAAUGAAUUGACGGGGACCCGCACAAGCGGUGGAGCAUGUGGUUUAAUUCGAUGCAACGCGAAGAACCUUACCUACUCUUGACAUACUUGAGCUCUUGUAAUGAGAGUGUGCUUUGACCAAGAUACAGGUGCUGCAUGGCUGUCGUCAGCUCGUGUCGUGAGAUGUUGGGUUAAGUCGGAUAACGAGCGCAACCCU